rnacentral:rRNA from 1 species
UACGGGGGGAGCAAGCGUUGUUCGGAUUUACUGGGCGUAAAGGGCGCGUAGGCGGUCAGCACAAGUCAGUUGUGAAAUCUCCGGGCUUAACUCGGAAAGGUCAACUGAUACUGUGCGACUAGAGUGCAGAAGGGGCAACUGGAAUUCUCGGUGUAGCGGUGAAAUGCGUAGAUAUCGAGAGGAACACCUGCGGCGAAGGCGGGUUGCUGGGCUGACACUGACGCUGAUGUGCGAAAGCUAGGGGAGCGAACAGG